rnacentral:rRNA from 1 species
UCCUACGGGUGGCUGCAGUAGGGAAUAUUGCGCAAUGGGGGAAACCCUGACGCAGCGACGCCGCGUGAGUGAUGAAGGCCUUCGGGUCGUAAAGCUCUGUUGCAGGGGAAUAAAAAAAUGAAGGUACCCUGUGAGGAAGGAUCAGCUAACUUCGUGCCAGCAGCCGCGGUAAGACGAGGGAUCCUAGCGUUGCUCGGAAUCAUUGGGCGUAAAGAGGGCGUAGGUGGCUUGGUAAGUCAGGUGUGAAAGCCCAGGGCUCAACCCUGGAAGUGCAUUUGAUACUGCUAAGCUUGAGUGUUAGAGAGGUUACCGGAAUACCUGGUGUAGUGGUGAAAUACGUAGAUAUCAGGUGGAACACCGGAGGCGAAGGCGGGUAACUGGCUAAACACUGACACUGAGGCCCGAAAGCGUGGGGAUCAAACAGGAUUAGAUACCCCUGUAGUC